UACGAAGGGGGCUAGCGUUGUUCGGAAUUACUGGGCGUAAAGCGCGCGCAGGCGGCUUCCUAAGUCCAUCGGUCAAAUGCCGGGGCUCAACCCCGAGCGUGCCGAGGAUACUGGGAGGCUGGAGACACGUAGAGGCAAGCGGAAUUCCGGGUGUAGCGGUGGAAUGCGUAGAGAUCCGGAAGAACACCGGAGGCGAAGGCGGCUUGCUGGGCGUGAUCUGACGCUGAGGCGCGAAAGCGUGGGGAGCGAACAGG
rnacentral:rRNA from 1 species